GUCAUUUUCUUUCCUUCGCUCCACACCGAAUUUCGAUCGAUCCAGUGGCCUUCUUCCCCUUUUUCCCUCUUUGUUUUCUAUCUCUCAUCUUAUCGAGUCCACGACUCAUUGACGGAGAAGCUGGAAGAGCAGCUCAAGGAGCUGGGAUCCAAGUUGGAAUCUCCUCCAUCCGCGAAAGACGCCAUUCUCAAGCUGUUAAAGGCACGCAUUCUUCAACUUUUUAUUACUUCUCCACUGAACUUUAGAUUGCUUAGCUAAAGUUCGUUCCUAAUUGGUUGAAUUAGGGUUGUUCCCAUAAUUCACAAAGUUUCUCCUAAUCAUGGUUCUUCUACAACCAGACCCUUUUCUUAAUGAACUUACGAGCAUGUUUGAGCGAAGCACUGAGACCGGCUCUGUUUGGGUUACUCUUAAACGAUCUGCUACAUGUCUCUCUGAGAUUGACCAGUCUCCACCAUCAUCAAUAAUGGAAUCAAUGCAGCCUCUUCUUAAUGCAAUUGUCAAGCCAGAAUUGCUGAAUCAUCAAGAUCGGGAAGCCAAACUCCUAGUUGCAACCUGUAUUUGUGAGAUAACUCGGAUAAUUGCGCCUGAAGCGCC